UACGGAGGGGGCAAGCGUUGUUCGGAAUUACUGGGCGUAAAGGGCGCGUAGGCGGCCAAGUAAGUCGGAUGUGAAAUCCCCAGGCUCAACCUGGGAACUGCAUCCGAUACUGGAUGGCUUGAAUUCGGUAGAGGGAUGCAGAAUUCCAGGUGUAGCGGUGAAAUGCGUAGAUAUCUGGAGGAAUACCGGUGGCGAAGGCGGCAUCCUGGACCGACAUUGACGCUGAUGAGCGAAAGCUAGGGGAGCAAACGGG
rnacentral:rRNA from 1 species